rnacentral:misc_RNA from 1 species
CUAAACUCUUUCUUUUUUUUUUUUCGCUUAGUUUAGCUCGAUGAGAAGCAGAGUUACUGAAGCCAAGAUUCCAAGCACGAUCUUACUAAUUAGAGCGAAUAGCGAGGUGUCGUGUUCUGGAUUCUUUUAAUAGAAUAAAGAAUUGGGUUUACCUCAGAAUAUGGAAACAAAUCGAUUUCUUUAUCUGGGUAUGAUUCUUCUGCUGCUUAUCGUUGACUUCUCUUUCGUUGAUUCUAAGGCAAAUGUGAGUGCAAAGAAUGACUUAGAUCCACAAUCAAAUAACGUAACUGGUUCGAAUGAGCAAGCAGGUGAAUUGGGAUCAGUUUCAGAUUCUAAUGGAGCUCAUAAAGAAAAGAAAAAUAAAGGAAAUCAACAGAAUAAAUUAAAGGAGAGUAUUGAUGACGGUAAGAAAAAUCAUUAUAAUUCAAGUGGCCAAUCUGGGUCCAAAAAAACAGAUAAUCUGGUAAAUGAUACAAGUAAGUUGAAUGAGAAAUCGCAAGGGGAAAGUGAUGAUAGUAAAAAGAAGACCAUGCCGAAGGAGAGUGGCAGUGGAGAAGAGUCAGGGCAUGGGAAAAAAGGUUCUCGUGUUGAAGAAUGUGAUCCUUCCAACAAGUGCAUAGAUGAGGACAACAACUUGGUUGCUUGUUUAAGAGUUCCAGGAAAUGGUAUGUGUUCAGUUCUCUUAAUUCAUACAUGUUUGAUCCUUGUUUUGCUAAUGUUAAUUAUAUUGCCUGAUUUACUCUGUUGUCUAUUUAUAUGCAAAGAAAUUAAAGAUUUUCACUGGGAUGCAAUCAGUGCAACUGCAAAUAAGCCAACUAAUAGGCCAUUUACUUUUGGAGUACGUGACUAGUGUAUAUCUAAGUGUUGCCUUCUAAUAGAAUAUGAAAAUAUAGGAGUUAACAGCUGUAAUAUGUCAAUAAGCAUGAAUUUCAUUAAAAUUAUGAGUUCUCUGAUAUUUUGUAGUAUCUUUUUAGCAUAUGGAUUUCACUGCAUGUAUGGAUUUACUUCUCUUUUUAUUUCCAGAUCAAUAUUCACUUUUAAUUCAGAAUAAAGGGAAAAACCCUCUCACAGUUACUAUUUCUGCUCCGGAUUUUGUUCAAUUGGAGAAAACAGAAAUUCAGCUCCAAGCAAAAGAAGAUAAAAAGGUGAAGGUCUCUAUUACAAGUGGAGGAAGUGACAACUUGAUUGUCCUAAAGUCAGGAAAGGGUCACUGCAGCCUGGAUAUAAGACAUUUGAUUGAUAAGGAGUUUGAUAACUCUCAGAAGUCUACGUAUUUAAACUUCAUGUCACCAACUCCUACCAUUGUUGUCUUGGCCAUUGCUGCACUGCUAAUACUGGCAGCAGGUUGGAUGUGCAUCAGCUUCCGGAGGAAGCAACUCUUCAGCAUUGGCUCUAAAUAUCAAAGUCUAAACAUGGAUCUGCCAGUUUCUGGUGGGGGAAAACCAGAAUCUGAAGUCAACAAUGGAUGGGAUAACAGUUGGGGUGAUGAUUGGGAUGAUGAGGAGGCUCCCAAGACACCUUCACUACCUGUUACUCCAAGCCUCUCAUCUAAAGGCCUUGCCUCACGACGAUUGAACAAGGAGGGGUGGAAAGAUUAGCCGACUAUAAGAAAAGGGUUGGGGGACAUCUAUAUAGUUUCCAUUUUUCUCAAACUCUUUUUUCGAGUUUGUUUGAUAGGUAGUCUUUUCAUUUUCUUUUUCCGCAGUGGAUAUAGAUGCUUGGAAUGAAGUUUGACAUUUCUACAUGCUGCUACUUCUUCACUCAUAUCCUAUAUAGAAUUUUAAAGUGCAAAUGGAUUUUUGAUUCUUUCAGAAAACAUUGAGUUUUGAUCAUGACACGAUGGCGUCUGGACCAUCAUUGGAGUCUCCAUGUUUCUCUAUGGACUUUUGGUCCUGGACCUCGUGAAAUCCUCAAGCAGG